rnacentral:lncRNA from 1 species
CCCACUAUCAUUCUGAGGCCUUCCCACCCAUGUGGAACUCUGAACUCACAAGAAAAUAAGGAAGACCUCCUGGAGGGAAAACAAGCAAGAACUGAAAACAAGUGCCGUCAGUGAAUGGAAUGAGGGAUACGAUGCAAGUCACGGAAGAAGAGUUUCCAAUUACACCAUGGCGGAGAAGAAAGAAAGAAAAUGACACAACCACACGUACCACAGCUCAGAGUUUCAAAGACCACGUUAAGGUGUGAUUCAAACAGCCAUUGUGCAGCUCAAGCACGUUCCAGACUCAAGUCUGUGUAAACAGAGUUAUAUUUACUAGCACAAGGCCUGAAAUAGAAAUCCCGCAGCAAGCUCCUCUCUCAUUAACGGGGUCUCUUUCACACCCUAGGGGAUACCCAUGAGCGGGCUGUGUCAAUUGUUAGUGCCAGAAACAGUGGCUGGUUGAGAAUGCCUUUUCUUUCACAUUUUACAGGGAAAUUCACAUGGAACCAGAUUCAAUAGUCUCGCGACAUCCUUGUUAGAAACACUUAGAUUUUUCUCUUUUUGGCAGUAGCUGGUCUCCAUGAGUUGAUGUUUGGUGUCAGAACAGCCUCAAACAGGUGGCUGAGGGAAUUUGUAGGCUCGUUUAAAAUCGUGCUUAAGAUACUCACAAAAGCAACUUCUCUAGGCCGCUUUGAAGGUCCUGGGACAUUUCUGAUCUAAAGAGGUGUUUUGUGGUUUGUUUUGUUUUGUUUUGUUUUUUUCCUAUCUAGAUAAAAGAUAAUGUUAGUCAAUGCAGCUGGCACUUUUUAUUCAUUUGUUUCCCAUCAAUCUCUGUCUUUCUGAAAUAGACACAGAUCUUUAUUUGGUGUGUCAGUGUGUGGGAGAAUGGCAUGCAGACACAGGAUAACAGGCACAGAGACAGUGCCUGGUCUAUGUUCAUGUGCUGUCCUCUGUUCAGUUGUCUCUCCUGUUCAACUGUCUCUGUGAACUAACAAUAUGUAGAACAUCCCCUAAGUAAAUGGUGGUGGUGGUCGUGAGGAGAAGAGAAAGCAGAGAGAAAGACCAAGCGAUGUAGGGCAAGAG